CGCAAGUUGUUUUGCAUUGGAAUGAGAACAUUUAAAAUCUUGAUUGAGUACCAAUUAGAGGGCAAGCCUGGUGCCAGAGAGCGGUAAUUCCAGCUCUAAUAGCGUAUAUUAAAGUUGUUGCAGUUGAAAAGCUCGUAGUUGAACUUUUGUUAGGUCCUCGACAGGUCAUUUAUGGAAGUGAAACCGGAUGACAAUUUAAUUUUCAUAUGU
rnacentral:rRNA from 1 species